UACGUAGGGGGCAAGCGUUGUCCGGAAUCAUUGGGCGUAAAGCGCGUGUAGGCGGUCCGGUAAGUCCGCUGUGAAAGUCUAGGGCUCAACCCUGGAAUGCCGGUGGAAACUGUCGGGCUAGAGUCCGGAAGAGGCGAGUGGAAUUCCUGGUGUAGCGGUGAAAUGCGCAGAUAUCAGGAGGAACACCAAUGGCGAAGGCAGCUCGCUGGGACGGUACUGACGCUGAGACGCGAAAGCGUGGGGAGCAAACAGG
rnacentral:rRNA from 1 species